GUGUCAGCCGCCGCGGUAACACGUAGGGUGCAAGCGUUGUCCGGAAUUAUUGGGCGUAAAGGGCUCGUAGGCGGUCCGUCACGUCGGGAGUGAAAACUCGGGGCUCAACCCCGAGCCUGCUUCCGAUACGGGCGGACUAGAGGUAGGUAGGGGAGAACGGAAUUCCUGGUGUAGCGGUGGAAUGCGCAGAUAUCAGGAGGAACACCGGUGGCGAAGGCGGUUCUCUGGGCCUUACCUGACGCUGAGGAGCGAAAGCGUGGGGAGCGAACAGGAUUAGAUACCCUUGUAGUCC
rnacentral:rRNA from 1 species